rnacentral:rRNA from 1 species
CAUGGCUGUCGUCAGCUCGUGUUGUGAAAUGUUGGGUUAAGUCCCGCAACGAGCGCAACCCUUAUCCUUUGUUGCCAGCGGUUAGGCCGGGAACUCAAAGGAGACUGCCAGUGAUAAACUGGAGGAAGGUGGGGAUGACGUCAAGUCAUCAUGGCCCUUACGACCAGGGCUACACACGUGCUACAAUGGCAUAUACAAAGAGAAGCGACCUCGCGAGAGCAAGCGGACCUCAUAAAGUAUGUCGUAGUCCGGAUUGGAGUCUGCAACUCGACUCCAUGAAGUCGGAAUCGCUAGUAAUCGUAGAUCAGAAUGCUACGGUGAAUACGUUCCCGGGCCUUGUACA